CCCUUGUAGUAGCAUCUGCUGAAGAAGUGCUUUGGGAUCACCAAACAAGCAUUUUCCUAAAAAAUACUGAUUCCUGAAGGCCGUACAUAUUCAAUUUCAGAUCCGCUCGAGCAUGAUGGAGUCAAUAAUGUGAAGCAAUAAUAGGCUGACAAGGAUCAAUCUUGGCAGCCUGGCGAAUACGCUGUCUGCGUCUCAAUACACAACCCCAAUCAACAUUUGGGCGUUGAGGGCCUGAAGAGACAAGUCUUCAGGGGGAGACGUCUCACUCGCCAAGAAACCGCCCAAGACUUCAGACCUACCUUAAGACCGGCUCGUGCAAUGAAGGCUGGGACCGUGCAAGUGUGUGUGAUGCUGAAACAGCUCAACGAGCUCCCGCCUCAGGAGUCCCAUUUCUGAGGGCCGCUGGCCUGCCGGCCGGAGCGUGUGAAAGCAGAUAACCAGGGCAAAUUUCAUGACUCACACACUUCCUGCUCUGUGAAGUUGCAUUAAAAGCUGUGGGGGGAAAAAGCGCAACCCUGAUGUUCUAGCUCCAAAUCGAUUGUUACACAUUAAGCAUGUUGGCUUCACCCCGGAGCGUGUUCAAAGAGUUGGUACCAUGGCCAUAAUGUGCCCGGAAUAGGAAAAUAACAUGACGCGGGCGGAGAGAUCGCUUCGGCCGAUGAAUACACCGUCUUGCGUUUUCCAACAGUCCUGAUACUGGCCACGUGGGGUUGAGGUGUAUUCAGUUUUGUAUUGUAUUCAGAGAUGUAACUUACUUGGUAAUCACCUAUAUCAAUGAAAGUUCACUAAAUAGUGUUUUGCGUGAUAUUCAUGGGGCCCUAGG
ensembl:lncRNA